CCAAACCUGUAAAGCAAAUGGACACUGAAUACAUAGGUGAACGGCAGUUUCAGGUGCCCCUUCACACAAAGGGCAAAUUGGGUUGCAAGGCCAAUUCCUACCAGCAGCUUGUCCGUAGUUAAUAUUUUGGUUUGUAGCAGCAGCUAGGCGAAGAAUUAAUGUUUUCCUUCCAUUUGUGCCUUCAAGAUGUCGUUUGCUCUAAAGGAGCGGUAAGACCCUUUGAAUUGAACCACAUAGGCAGAUUUAGCAGUAUAGUUCCCAUCUAUAAUCCAACGCUAGACAAUGUCAUCAGGCUCAUCACUGAAGGAGAUGUUCUGGACCAAGUCUCAUAAUGUCACAAAUUCUUCCAUUUUAGUGAUACUACUAAUUCUCCAUAGCCCCAUUGUCCAGUUAUGUUCAUUUAUCUCCUCCUGCACCUUCCUGUGCUUUCUCUAUGCUAGCUUAUACAGGUUAGGAGCAAUGUCCUAGGAGCCUUACCCUCCAGCCAAGAUGAGUUAUAGAAUUCAGCUAUGAGGCCAUUCCCAAUGUGAACUACUGUACUAGCUCUGAAAAGUUGCAAAUCAACUUCAUUGAUAGUUGUUUCUCCUCCCACCCACGGUCUGUCUGGUUCUUUCCAUUGCAGCCAUGGCCAUCUCAGUCUCAGUACUCUACUAAAAAAUUCUAGGUCCAAUGGACCAAGCUCUCCUAGUUUCUUUGGUUUGAUAAAUUUGAUCUAUCUCAAUAAAACAGUGGCCCCCCAUUGGUCUCAUAUGUUCCCUUUUAGAGAAAACCUCUCCUGAUUUUGUCAAUCCUCUUGACUAUCCACUUUUUUGGGGCAAAGACAAUAAGGAAAUAAGUUGAGAUUGCAAAUAGAACUGUGUUUACUAGUGUGAGCCGUCCUACCUUAUUC
rnacentral:lncRNA from 1 species